CUCUAGUGGCACAGCUAGCACUGCGAUGCAGUGCCUUAGACCACUGCGCCACCUGUUUGUGCCGUCAUGUGCAUUAGUAGCACAAUUUCUAACUUAUUUACAUCGAUUUUUACUUACACUUGUAUGUUGACUUCUCCCUAUUGAUGUAAACUAGGUUAAAUGAACUGAAGGGGGGUGAUAAACUAGGUUAAAUGAACUGAAGGGGGGGUGAUAAACUAGGUUAAAUGAACUGAAGGGGGGUGAUAAACUAGGUUAAAUGAACUGAAGGGGGGUGAUAAACUAGGUUAAAUGAACUGAAGGGGGGUGAUAAACUAGGUUAAAUGAACUGAAGGGGGGUGA